rnacentral:misc_RNA from 1 species
GAUGAAGAACGCAGCAAAAUGCGAUAAGUAAUGUGAAUUGCAGAAUUCAGUGAAUCAUCGAAUCUUUGAACGCACAUUGCGCCCGCCAGUAUUCUGGCGGGCAUGCCUGUUCGAGCGUCAUUUCAACCCUCAAGCACAGCUUGGUGUUGGGACUCGCGUUAAUCCGCGUUCCUCAGAAUGAUUGGUGGUCACGUCGAGCUUCCAUAGCGUAGUAGUAAAACCCUCGUUACUGGUAAUCGUCGCGGCCACGCCGUUAAACCCCAACUUCUGAAUGUUGACCUCGGAUCAGGUAGGAAUACCCGCUGAACUUAAGCAUAUCAAUAAGCGGAGGA